GACGAACGCUGGCGGCGUGCUUAACACAUGCAAGUCGAACGGAAAGGCCCUGCUUUUGUGGGGUGCUCGAGUGGCGAACGGGUGAGUAACACGUGAGUAACCUGCCCUUGACUUUGGGAUAACUUCAGGAAACUGGGGCUAAUACCGGAUAGGAGCUCCUGCUGCAUGGUUGGGGUUGGAAAGUUUCGGCGGUUGGGGAUGGACUCGCGGCUUAUCAGCUUGUUGGUGGGGUAGUGGCUUACCAAGGCUUUGACGGGUAGCCGGCCUGAGAGGGUGACCGGCCACAUUGGGACUGGGAUACGGCCCAGACUCCUACGGGAGGCAGCAGUGGGGAAUAUUGCACAAUGGGCGGAAGCCGGAUGCAGCAACGCCGCGUGCGGGAUGACGGCCUUCGGGUUGUAAACCGCUUUCGCCUGUGACGAAGCGUGAGUGACGGUAAUGGGUAAAGAAGCACCGGCUAACUACGUG
rnacentral:rRNA from 1 species